GGUGUUGAAAGCGUUCCACAGGGAUGCUGGCCCAUGUUGACUCUACAAGGUGUCUAAAGCGUUCCACAGGGAUGCUGGCCCAUGUUGACUCUACAAGGUGUUGAAAGCGUUCCACAGGGAUGCUGGCCCCAUGUUGACUCUACAAGGUGUUGAAAGCGUUCCACAGGGAUGCUGGUCCAUGUUGACUCUACAAGGUGUUGAAAGCGUUCCACAGGGAUGCUGGCCCAUGUUGACUCUACAAGGUGUCUAAAGCGUUCCACAGGGAUGCUGGCCCAUGUUGACUCUACAAGGUGUCUAAAGCGUUCCACAGGGAUGCUGGCCCAUGUUGACUCUACAAGGUGUCCAAAGCGUUCCACAGGGAUGCUGGCCCCAUGUUGACUCUACAAGGUGUCCAAAGCGUUCCACAGGGAUGCUGGCCCCAUGUUGACUCUACAAGGUGUCCAAAGCGUUCCACAGGGAUGCUGGUCCAUGUUGACUCUACAAGGUGUCUAAAGCGUUCCACAGGGAUGCUGGUCCAUGUUGACUCUACAAGGUGUUGAAAGCGUUCCACAGGGAUGCUGGCCCCAUGUUGACUCUACAAGGUGUUGAAAGCGUUCCACAGGGAUGCUGGCCCAUGUUGACUCUACAAGGUGUUGAAAGCGUUCCACAGGGAUGCUGGCCCCAUGUUGACUCUACAAGGUGUCCAAAGCGUUCCACAGGGAUGCUGGUCCAUGUUGACUCUACAAGGUGUCCAAAGCGUUCCACAGGGAUGCUGGUCCAUGUUGACUCUACAAGGUGUUGAAAGCGUUCCACAGGGAUGCUGGCCCAUGUUGACUCUACAAGGUGUUGAAAGCGUUCCACAGGGAUGCUGGUCCAUGUUGACUCUACAAGGUGUCUAAAGCGUUCCACGGGGAUGCUGGCCCAUGUUGACUCUACAAGGUGUCUAAAGCGUUCCACGGGGAUGCUGGCCCGUGUUGACUCUACAAGGUGUUGAAAGCGUUCCACAGGGAUGCUGGCCCCAUGUUGACUCUACAAGGUGUUGAAAGCGUUCCACAGGGAUGCUGGUCCAUGUUGACUCUACAAGGUGUCCAAAGCGUUCCACAGGGAUGCUGGCCCAUGUUGACUCUACAAGGUGUUGAAAGCGUUCCACAGGGAUGCUGGCCCAUGUUGACUCUACAAGGUGUCCAAACCGUUCCACAGGGAUGCUGGUCCAUGUUGACUCUACAAGGUGUCCAAAGCGUUCCACAGGGAUGCUGGCCCCAUGUUGACUCUACAAGGUGUCCAAAGCGUUCCACAGGGAUGCUGGUCCAUGUUGACUCUACAAGGUGUCUAAAGCGUUCCACAGGGAUGCUGGUCCAUGUUGACUCUACAAGGUAUUGAAAGCGUUCCACAGGGAUGCUGGCCCAUGUUGACUCUACAAGGUGUUGAAAGUGUUCCACAGGGAUGCUGGCCCAUGUUGACUCUACAAGGUGUUGAAAGCGUUCCACAGGGAUGCUGGCCCAUGUUGACUCUACAAGGUGUUGAAAGUGUUCCACAGGGAUGCUGGCCCAUGUUGACUCUACAAGGUGUUGAAAGCGUUCCACAGGGAUGCUGGUCCAUGUUGACUCUACAAGGUGUCUAAAGCGUUCCACAGGGAUGCUGGCCCAGAACAUGCACAAAGGAAACUGUUGAGAGUUAAAAACCCAGCAUCGUUGUAGUUCUUUGACACAAACCCCCCCCUUCAUCUACACUGAUUGAUGACAUCAAUAAGGGAUCAUAUCUUUCACCUGGAUUCACCUGGUCAGUCACUGUCAUGGAAAGAGCAGAUGUUCCUAAUGUUUUGUCCACUCAGUGUACAUUGUAGAUA